rnacentral:rRNA from 1 species
UACAGAGGCCUCAAGCGUUGUUCGGAAUCACUGGGCGUAAAGGGUGCGUAGGCGGUCGGGUAAGUCUGAUGUGAAAUCUCACAGCUUAACUGUGAAACUGCAUUGGAUACUAUCCGGCUCGAGGAAUGGAGGGGAGACUGAAUACUUGGUGUAGCAGUGAAAUGCGUAGAUAUCAAGUGGAACACCAGUGGCGAAGCGAGUCUCUGGACAUUUCCUGACGCUGAGCACGAAAGCCGGGGAGCAAACGGG